ACUAAAAGCAGAACUAAAAUAAGUGUUUUAAGAAAUUUGUGUUACAAACCAAAUAAGAAAAUUGCAUACCAGGUCUGUAAUCUUGGUAGAUACAGAGUUAUAUGCAUCCACUGCAAGUUAUGUGCAGACCAACACACGCUUUCCCUCACUUCCACUGAGGUGAGUCUUCAGUUGUCACGUAGAAGUUGUAAAUUGGGAUGGAAGUAGAAACAGGCCAUAUUCAAGUCACCAGGGUUACUGGUCUCAAAGGACUUGGCUGUGUCAUAGCUAAUGACAGAUGAAGUGCAUAUAUUUGGUGAUCUGAUGGCU